GACGAACCGUGCUAACGUUGUUCGGAAUCACUGGGCUUAAAGGGCGCGUAGGCGGUGUGUUAAGUCGGCGGUGAAAUACUUCAGCUUAACUGAAGAAUUGCCGCUGAAACUGGCAUGCUAGAGGGAGGUAGAGGUGCGUGGAACUUCCGGUGGAGCGGUGAAAUGCGUUGAUAUCGGAAGGAACACCUGUGGCGAAAGCGUCGCACUGGACCUCUUCUGACGCUGAGGCGCGAAAGCUAGGGUAGCGAACGGG
rnacentral:rRNA from 1 species